GCGACCCCAGGAUGGGCGAGGCCACCCGCCGAGUUUAAGCAUAUCAAUAAGCGGAGGAGAAGAAACUUACGAGGAUUCCC
rnacentral:rRNA from 2 species